GUUUACAGACUUGCCACUAUGAACGCACCUGACCUCGUCUGGUCUCAGAAGCUAAGCAGGGUGGGGCCUGAUUAGUACUUGGCAGGGAGACUGAGGGUGUCAGUUUCUAGAGACA
rnacentral:rRNA from 1 species